rnacentral:rRNA from 1 species
AUGCAAGUCGAACGGCAGCACGGGUGCUUGCACCUGGUGGCGAGUGGCGAACGGGUGAGUAACAUAUCGGAACGUGCCCUAGAGUGGGGGAUAACGUAGCGAAAGUUACGCUAAUACCGCAUACGAUCUAAGGAUGAAAGUGGGGGAUCGCAAGACCUCAUGCUCCUGGAGCGGCCGAUAUCUGAUUAGCUAGUUGGUGGGGUAAAAGCCUAUCAAGGCGACGAUCAGUAGCUGGUCUGAGAGGACGACCAGCCACACUGGGACUGAGACACGGCCCAGACUCCUACGGGAGGCAGCAGUGGGGAAUUUUGGACAAUGGGGGAAACCCUGAUCCAGCAAUGCCGCGUGUGUGAAGAAGGCCUUCGGGUUGUAAAGCACUUUUGUCAGGAACGAAACGGUGGGGGCUAAUACCUCCUGCUAAUGACGGUACCUGAAGAAUAAGCACCGGCUAACUACGUGCCAGCAGCCGCGGUAAUACGUAGGGUGCGAGCGUUAAUCGGAAUUACUGGGCGUAAAGCGUGCGCAGGCGGUUGUGCAAGACAGAUGUGAAAUCCCCGGGCUUAACCUGGGAAUUGCAUUUGUGACUGCACGGCUAGAGUGUGUCAGAGGGGGGUAGAAUUCCACGUGUAGCAGUGAAAUGCGUAGAUAUGUGGAGGAAUACCGAUGGCGAAGGCAGCCCCCUGGGAUAACACUGACGCUCAUGCACGAAAGCGUGGGGAGCAAACAGGAUUAGAUACCCUGGUAGU